rnacentral:rRNA from 1 species
CCCUUAGAUGUACUGGGCCGCACGCGCGCUACACUGAUGCAUUCAACGAGUUUCUUCCUGGUCCGAGAGGAAUGGGUAACCUUUUGAAAGUGCAUCGUGAUAGGGAUAGACUAUUGCAAUUAUUGGUCUUCAACGAGGAAUUCCUAGUAGACGUAGUUCAUCAGACUGCAUCGAUUACGUCCCUGCCCUUUGUACACACCGCCCGUCGCUCCUACCGAUUGAAUGCUCAGGUGAGCCAUUCGGACUUUCAUCAUGCUGGUUUCCAGUUUUGAUGAAGGAAAGUCUUGCGAACCUUAUCAUUUAGAGGAAGGAGAAGUCGUAACA